AUUGAACGCUGGCGGCAGGCCUAACACAUGCAAGUCGAGCGGAUGAAGGGAGCUUGCUCCUGGAUUCAGCGGCGGACGGGUGAGUAAUGCCUAGGAAUCUGCCUGGUAGUGGGGGAUAACGUCCGGAAACGGGCGCUAAUACCGCAUACGUCCUGCGGGUGAAAGUGGGGGAUCUUCGGACCUCACGCUAUCAGAUGAGCCUAGGUCGGAUUAGCUAGUUGGUGGGGUAAAGGCCUACCAAGGCGACGAUCCGUAACUGGUCUGAGAGGAUGAUCAGUCACACUGGAACUGAGACACGGUCCAGACUCCUACGGGAGGCAGCAGUGGGGAAUAUUGGACAAUGGGCGAAAGCCUGAUCCAGCCAUGCCGCGUGUGUGAAGAAGGUCUUCGGAUGGUAAAGCACUUUAAGUUGGGAGGAAGGGCAGUAAGUUAAUACCUUGCUGUGUUGACGUUACCAACAGAAUAAGCACCGGCUAACUUCGUG
rnacentral:rRNA from 1 species